UUCAUAGGUUGCUUUUUAAAAGACGUCUUGUAUGGUAGCCUUCCCAUCUGGGAAAUGCACCGCGUACUGUGGCUCGCAGAAGUGAUAUUUAGGUUGUUGACUGAUGCUGUUCUGAUGUGGGAAACCAGCUUUGAAGGGCACUUAGGAAUGCUUGAUUGGACCUGAUUUUAGUUUCCUCCAGGAUCACAAUGACUGAGAGACUUGUUGCUCUUGUAGAUGCCACCCCCUUCCUAUCUCCAUCUCUGCGCUCCACCUAUUUUUGCAAUCCAGGCACCUUAUGGGAAUGUGCUGAGCUCUGAGCAAGCAUGACUGAGACCCUAGGUGUAAUCCACCUCAACCAAAGGCACCUACCACGAAGACUCCUUUCAUUCAUUCAUGUAAUGUUAUUCUUUCAAGUGAAACUACAAAUGUGUGCCAUCGUUCAUGCGAUCUUUGAACCUGUGAAGCUAUGUUAGACUGGGUGGCCGGGGAGGGGGAGGAGGUUUGUACAGCAGGAAACUCAGCUAUAACAAUCAUUUAUGUUGCAGUGAAUUCUCUGUGUGACCCCUUUCUUCUUGGUACUUUUUGAAAACUACAAACAAAAUGUUUUAUCUUCAUUCUUUCAGUCUUUUUUUUUUUACAUAAUGUCUCAUGUUUGUUUGAUCUCAACCAAUUGGAGUCAACAAGGAUUUUAUAGCAUUUGUACGAAAGGCCUCUUGUUAAUUUUUUCUCUUUUGAGAAAAAGUAUUUUUGGCUGGAGAAUCAGAACUUCCUUGAAGGAGAGCUCCUGUGGGAUUUGGUUAUUUUUCCAAGUGUAUCAAAUUUCAGCCCUUUGUAGUUUCAGCAAUUCUUAGAAGUGCCGGCUUUGUCCGGAUGUCUGCUCUUAUGGCCCACUAGGGCAAAAUAAAACUGACAUACAGUACAGGUACAACAGAUGACCUCAACCAUCUAGUUACAUACACUAACAUGUUCAAUUCUCAAUGACUCGGCUGUAUGAAAGUAUUUCUGUACGGUUUGUAACAAAUCAGCCCACACCACUUAGUUUCAUGCUAAAACCCUCAGUUGAACACUGCAGUUGUGUGCUUGGUGUUGUACAUGCUGUAGGUCACUGGGAAUACUUAAAAACAAGGCCGUAGCCAUGGAGUCAACAUUGGGGGGGACCAUUUUUUUUUAUGAUAGUUUUGGACCGCGUGGGUGGU